rnacentral:lncRNA from 1 species
UUGUUGAAGUCCUCGUCCCAGUGCAGCGGCGCGGCGGCGUCGGGCGGGCAGCGGACCCCGAAGUGCGCGAAGGCGUCGUUGUAGGCCUGCAUGUGGAAGUGCUCCGACUCCAGUAUGACGCCGUCGCAGUCGAAGAUGAGGGCGUCGAGCGACGGCGGCGGGGAGGAGGCCGAGGCGGAGACGACGAGCCGGGACGCACGGCGUGGGCGGAGGAAAGGGAGGCCGGAGGGGGAGCGGCGAGCCGCGGCGGCCGUGUAGAAGGAGGUGUGGAUGAGAAGGGAAGUGGAAGCCAUGUUGGAAAUUUGGAUUGAGUGUUUGGGUGCAGAGGAGACUGGGACGGAAUUGGCGCGAAUUGUUCAAGAGUGAGUGGCUGCUUAUGUGGCUCUUUUCCCUUUCUUAUCGCGUAUGAGAGGAGGGAAACGGAGCAGAUUUGAAAUGCUAGAUUCAGAUCUUUCUAGGAAAUUCUAGGUAGUUUCAGAGAAUAAAGUUAUUCUGAUCGGAUUUAUACUAACUUUAUGUCCAGUAAAAAAUACUGUAGGUGCUCCAUAUUCUGCAAGUUGAUCAAGUUGUAUGUAAAAAACAAAAAUUUUAAAUCACGAGGGACUCCUUCUGUCGCUGGUCUGGUGUGGACUCUGGAAGCGUCUAUAGUUUUUCCGUAGGGUCGAUCUGCCCGUCACGGUCAGGGGAAUGGUGCUGGAGGCAGGGCCAUGACAAGUGGAGACGGCCGCGUGCGUCUCAAGGGCCGGGCGGCCAUAGAGUGGCGCCGAUACCACAAUCCUUAAUGUUAUGGUCUACUAAUCGAGAAGUUUUUCUUACCACAUCACCUACCAAUUUGAGUAUGAUGUACAAUUUGUUAAUUUUGAUUUGACAUUGCCGAAUUGUGCUGUGUUAAACUUAUUUUGUAAUCUAUUAUACAAAAAUACACACAAAAGCAAAAAAGAAAAAAAAAAGUUGGUCGAACAAAAAAUAGGCAAAAGUUGGUUGCAAAAUAUUGCUUAUCAUAAUCCACCUCCACGACAAAUACAAGCUUAAUGUUAAAGCUUCGUCGUUUCAGUCAAAAAUUGUGCGAGCUUGCGUAUAGUAGUAUUUUUUUCAAGACGCCGACGACAAAGAAAUAGAAUAUCGUAAAUAAACAACAAUGAACUUAUUUAUUUAGAGUAUAUACUAAUAGUAAAAAAGUCACAGAAACUAGGAUUAGUCACGACAAAAAUAAAGAUUAAGCUAAUCCGGAACAAAACAUAAAUAUUAAGCUAAUUUCAAAAAUAAAGAUUAAACUUGGGGAAGUCGAUCUCCUUCCUACUCGAAGGCCCACGCGUUCUCCUUGCGGAUCUCCGCCUCCUCCUCCGGCGUGAAGUCGUUCUUGAUCCCGAAGAUCUCGCGGACCUCCUCCGGCUUCUUGCCCUUGAUCAUGUCGGCCACCUUCUGUGCGCACAGGUCCAGCAGCCCCUUGAUGUCCAGGUAGUUGGCCGCCAUGAACAGGUUGUACAGCAAGGUCAGGUCCACGUCGAUGAACUCCGCGUCGAAGCUCUUCAUCUCCUCCUCCUCCUUGGACUUGGACGCGUACGCGGCGGCUUCCGAGCCUUCGCCUGAGGUGGCCGCGGCGGCUUCCGUGCUGUCACCGGAGGCGGCGGCCGCGGGCGCGUGCUUGUUGAGGUACUCGAGGAUCUUGGCGAGGGUCUUGGCGUCGACGUUGGGGAGCGGGAUGUUGCCGCCGGCGCAGUCGUCGUCCUCCAUGGACAGGGCGACUGUUCGCGACAGGCUCGCCGCCGCCUCGGACAGCUCGAAGCUCUCGCCGUCCUGGCUGAUCAGCGUGACCAUCUUCGUCUCGGCGGCGCCGCUCUCUGCUGCCAUCGAUUUCGAUCGCUAGCUGAAGGCUCGAGGUCGUCGAGUCGGGUUACUUUGAAGGGGCUUGGAGCGUACGUGUGAUUGAUUGCUUUGGUGAUAGGCGGCUUGAGGGUCAAUUGGGGGAGUAUUUGUAGGCGCCAGCAGGUAGAGCUAGGGUGGACACCGAGACGGACUCGAGUUGCUGUUGUUUUACGAUCGGAGAACGGAGACGAAGAGGUCUUGUUUCCGAGCUCGAGGUUGACUCUGCUAGCUGCCUUCCCUGAGAUUUUAUUUUUCAUCUGAACAUGUCGGCUAAGCAGAUUUUUUUGCCAAUCCUUUCAUGAAUUUAUAUUGUAUAUAAAAUAAUUAAAUCACUCCAAAGUUCUAAUCCGUAUGAUCCAAAGGGGACAUAAAUUCAAAGGAUUUAGAAAAGACAUAUAUAUGAGGAGAGAUCGGGGUGUGCCGGUUUGCUCUAACGAGCCGUGCCAUUGAGUGGGUGGUGAAAAUUCAAAAUGUUUUGUAGCUGAAACCGUUUAUCCAAUUUAUGAUCUGUCUUCACCCUCGAUUGCAGCUUGACGAUUAGAACAAAUAUGAUGGGACAGAAUCGACCGCAUAAGCAAAAUCAUAUAACCUUCUUCACUUUAAGAAAAUAUUUUGUGCCAACAAUUGUAUUUUUACUUCACACAACAUUGGUUCCCCAGCAGUUGCAGCCUGUAGUUGACCACUUGCUAGUUGCUUGAAACAUCCUAUGCACAAUAGAGCAGUCUGGCCAAUGUUUUGGAAGCUAAUAUCCAUUGGUAAUCAAAGUAUAUUUUUUGUCUGUAUCUAACAUCAACCAUUAAGUAUUCAACAAAAUGACAGCCUUUGGUUCACCAGCAGUACUACCAACCACCGCAGCCGAAACAAAUGUUUGCUCCGUCUUUAUUUACAAAGUAUACCGAGAUUCACGAAGAAUUAAUGUACCGGAGUAUGCUCACUUGAUCUUUGUUCCCAAAUACUUUGGUGGGUCUUGAAGAUUCCAGGAGGCCCAAAUAAGAUGGAUAACAAUGCAGCUUGAAUAUUGACCUGAAAGCCAUUAGGGGCAUAACUUGGACAAUGUUUUCCACCACUAUACCCCCAGAUUUACCGAAAGCUAUGCAAGUCUCACAGAAAGUGCUGAUAUGGGUCUAAACCGAAGAGAAUGGUACCAGAUAGAGAAUUGAACUUACCAUGGUGCAUCACACAUGAAAAAACGGUCAAUGCAUUUCCUGAGGAAAGCAAGAAACUGCACUAUCCAGUGACAACAGCUUCUUGGAGCAGCAGCCUGAGGUCCUCAAACCUGCAAAGAAUUAACAGGUGUGGUUUAUCUGAUGAAUAAAAUCUAAAUAGACAAAAUCAGCACCUACCUCACAUUACUAAGGUCAGGAUAGGUUGCAAUGGCAUCCUUGAAAUCCUAUGGAAAAUUUUAGGAGAUCAGAAUGUGGAAAUGUCACACAAAACAAGAAUUUGUAGCUAAGCUCGAUCUUACUUGGUUAGCAGUUGAAGGUGUAUAUGUUAUUAUACAUGACAUCCCUGCUCCUUUAGCUGCCUAUCAAAAGAAAGGAAUUUCUUGCGUUCAAAAGUACAAAUUAGUUGAUUAAAAACUUGAAAGACUUACUUGUAGUCCAAUAACACUGUCUUCUACUACAAGGCAGUUCUUGCUUUCCACACCUAAUUUCUGGAUCAAACAAUAAAUUCUUUAACAUGACUGAUUUUAAAAGUUGAAAACAUCUGUUUCUGUUGUGUUCACUACCUUUGCUGCUGUAAUAUAUAUUGAUGGAUCAGGUUUCUUCAGUUUAACAUCAUCGCCUGCAACACAACGUAAUUAAGAAUUUUGGGUGUUGUUGAAUGUCUUUUAUAUCUCCCAGAACAAAAACGGUUGCCAAAUAUAAAUAACUUAAGUGCAUUUGAAUAGAAUCUGGCCUUAGAAAAAUGUAAGCCAAAACCUUUACAAGACUUGCAAUUCGUCCCGAUGUCCCUACAUUUCGUAACUUUUGUUACUAGCCAUUAUAAUAUUUCAUUGGAACUGACGCAUUAUUAUCUUUUAAACCAACUAGGAUGACUGAUUUGAAAACUUUGUAAAGAUAAGCAUGCACGUUGCUUCACAUUUUGGUGAUUAUUGCCAGUUAACUUCAAAGCAAGCAUGGUAAACAAGACUAACAGGAUGCAAAAACAACCAGAACUAUACCAGCAAGGAAGCAGUCCAGACCAUUGAAUCGUUCCUAUAAAGCCAUAGGUGAGAAGACAUAUAACCUCAACUGAGAAAACAAAACUUUAUGUAAGGAAUAUGAUAGAGUUAACAUAAGAUCAAUGUAACUUACAAGUCCAAUAAGGUUUUCUAGGCACAGUACCACUGAGCUUUUAGUUGCCGCAGAGCAAACAGCAAGCUUGAUGCCCUACACUAUUAUACCAAAAUCAGCUGAAUUUAAUCUUGAAAGGUAGCUGCCAUAUUUAUUUAAUGUAAUGGAGCAUGAAAUAAGAAUACACCAAAGUUCAUGGUAUAAAAAGAAUUCAUUGAAGUAAAUAAUGUGACGACAUAUUCACCGAGCUAAUAACUAGCACAAAGCAGAAAAAGAUCUUGAAAUAAGUUGUAUUACCGCACCCUUAACUUCAUCCAUCAGACGUAAAACACCAGGUCUAGGCUCCACCUAGAAAUACAGAGCCAAAAAUUAGCAUGAGAUGACGAGCAGAUAAUAUAAUAGGUAUUUAAUUUAUAUUGGAGAAUGAGUAUGAUAUAUACAGGAAAUUCUCAAUGUAUACACUGCACUUACCGUUCCAGAUUUGAUUAUUUCUUUGUAUCUUUCUGUUUUCCAGUCCUGCAAAACAAGUGCUUCUGUCAACAGUGGAAAGAUGACUGAGCAAACAGAUGUCUUGUUUACCUUGAACAGAUGACUUGUGGGAACUGGGGAACAUACAUAUUCCAAACAAUCUUGUAUUAGACAUGGAGCCAAGGAAAUAAAAAGGUAUACCUGAAUAAUGUCAACUAACUUCUCCUUAUCGGAGUCGCUAGAAGGUGGCGUCUCAAAUAGCUUUGAGGAAGGCCACCCAUUUUCCCCAAAGUACCUAACAAAUCCGAUCCAAUUCAUGACAAAUAUUCACACGCGGAUGAAAGUAAUUAAACAGCAAUAUGCUGACAUGCGGCAUUCGUUAUUCCCAUUCGAGCCAGGGGCGGAGCUAGAGAAAACAAGACCCUGGUGCACUCUUCGUAGUGGUACCUGGUGCACCAGCUAAUUAUGAGGCAUAAUUACUGGUAAAAACUAUUUUGGACCCUGGUGCUUGUGCACCAAGGAAGCUCUGAGUAGCUCCGCCCCUGAUUCGAGCAACUUGCCACAUUAACAUUCACAUACCCAUAACCAACUGCAUUCUACCCCUGCAUACAUAAUUUUGUGUUCUACAUUGCAGGAACGUCCGAAGUAGUCCGAACACAGUGCUCACACAAUGUUGGUAAUCAACAAUCAAGCUUGCAAAAAAGCAGCAUAUGUAAACGAAAAAAUGGUGGGCGGAUGAGCGCAGACUCAAUCCCAGUCAUUUGCUCAGGCAAAACAUCAAACAAGCAGAGUGCACAGAAGUACAGAACACGCCGCAAGCUUGCCGGACCUAGAGACGAAUUGCUCUGUGCCCAGCCGUGUACAGGCAGAUUAAUAAUUGCCACUAGCGAGUAAAGCAUCGAGCCGGGCAGGACGUCACGUACCAUCGCAUCUUGGGCUUCCCACCGCCAAUGCGGUUCUGGAGGUCGUCGUAGAAGGCCUCGUCCCAGUCGAGCGGCGCGUCGGCCGCGGGCGGGCAGCGGACCCCGAAGUGCGCGAAGGCGUCGUUGUAGGCCUGCCGGUGGAGGUGCUCCGACUCAAGUAUGACGCCGUCGCAGUCGAAGAUCAGGGCGUCGAGCGACAGCGGCGGGGAGGCCGCCGAUGCGGAGACGGCGAGCCCGGACGCGCGGCGGGAGCG